AGACCCGAAACCCGGUGAUCUAGCCAUGGGCAGGUUGAAGGUUGGGUAACACUAACUGGAGGACCGAACCGACUAAUGUUGAAAAAUUAGCGGAUGACCUGUGGCUGGGGGUGAAAGGCCAAUCAAACCGGGAGAUAGCUGGUUCUCCCCGAAAGCUAUUUAGGUAGCGCCUCGUGAAUUCAUCUCCGGGGGUAGAGCACUGUUUCGGCUAGGGGGCCAUCCCGGCUUACCAACCCGAUGCAAACUGCGAAUACCGGAGAAUGUUAUCACGGGAGACACACGGCGGGUGCUAACGUCCGUCGUGAAGAGGGAAACAACCCAGACCGCCAGCUAAGGUCCCAAAGUCAUGGUUAAGUGGGAAACGAUGUGGGAAGGCCCAGACAGCCAGGAUGUUGGCUUAGAAGCAGCCAUCAUUUAAAGAAAGCGUAAUAGCUCACUGGUCGAGUCGGCCUGCGCGGAAGAUGUAACGGGGCUAAACCAUGCACCGAAGCUGCGGCAGCGACACUCAGGUGUUGUUGGGUAGGGGAGCGUUCUGUAAGCCUGCGAAGGUGGCCUGUGAGGGUUGCUGGAGGUAUCAGAAGUGCGAAUGCUGACAUAAGUAACGAUAAAGCGGGUGAAAAGCCCGCUCGCCGGAAGACCAAGGGUUCCUGUCCAACGUUAAUCGGGGCAGGGUGAGUCGACCCCUAAGGCGAGGCCGAAAGGCGUAGUCGAUGGGAAACGGGUUAAUAUUCCCGUACUUGGUGUUACUGCGAAGGGGGGACGGAGAAGGCUAUGUUGGCCGGGCGACGGUU
rnacentral:rRNA from 7 species